rnacentral:rRNA from 1 species
GACGAACGCUGGCGGCGUGCUUAACACAUGCAAGUCGAACGGUAAGGCCCUUCGGGGUACACGAGUGGCGAACGGGUGAGUAACACGUGGGUGAUCUGCCCUGCACUUCGGGAUAAGCCUGGGAAACUGGGUCUAAUACCGGAUAGGACCACUGCCUGCAUGGGUGGUGGUGGAAAUGUUUUGCGGUGUGGGAUGGGCCCGCGGCCUAUCAGCUUGUUGGUGGGGGGAUGGCCUGCCAAGGCGACGACGGGUAGCCGGCCUGAGAGGGUGACCGGCCACACUGGGACUGAGAUACGGCCCAGACUCCUACGGGAGGCAGCAGUGGGGAAUAUUGCACAAUGGGCGCAAGCCUGAUGCAGCGACGCCGCGUGAGGGAUGACGGCCUUCGGGUUGUAAACCUCUUUCAGCACCGACGAAGCGCAAGUGACGGUAGUAGCAGAAGAAGGACCGGCCAACUACGUGCCAGCAGCCGCGGUAA